UACGAAGGGAGCAAGCGUUGUUCGGAAUUACUGGGCGUAAAGGGCGCGUAGGCGGAUAUAUGGGUUAGAUGUGAAAAACCUGGGCUUAACCUGGGAACUGCAUUUAAAACUAUGUGUCUAGAGUACUGGAGGGGAUGGUGGAAUUCCUAGUGUAGAGGUGAAAUUCGUAGAUAUUAGGAAGAACACCGACGGCGAAGGCAACCAUCUGGACAGUAACUGACGCUGAGGCGCGAAAGCGUGGGGAGCAAACAGG
rnacentral:rRNA from 1 species